rnacentral:rRNA from 1 species
CCCCCCUCCAAUCAGUGAAACUGAUCUCCCCGUGAAGAAGCGGGGAUAAGUAUAUUAGACGAGAAGACCCCAUGGAGCUUUAAACCCGACAGCACCCACUUAUUUAACACCUUCUUAUCCGCCUGGCCCCUGUCUGCUCGGUUUUGGGUUGGGGUGACCGCGGAGCAUAAAAUAGCCUCCACGAAAGAAGGGAUGAUUCCCUCAUUUUAGAACUACACUUCCAAAGACUAACAAAUUAAUUUUAAGUGAUCCGAUACCCGUAUUCGAUCAACGAACCAAGUUACCCUGGGGAUAACAGCGCAAUCUACCUCAAGAGCCCCUAUCGACAGGUGGGUUUACGACCUCGAUGUUGGAUCAGGGUAUCCCAGUGGUGCAGCAGCUACCAAAGGUUCGUUUGUUCAACGAUUAAAACCCU